AAUUUAGUUAGAGGUUGCGUCUUUAAUAAGUCGUUUGUCAGAAGUCGAAUGGGGCAUAUGUUGCACAAAUUAAAGGUAAAGACGCCGAAAUAAAAGUUGAUCCAUCAACAACUUUUAUUGGGCUGGUUUUCGAAUAGGGACCAGACUGUCACAAUAGUGGUGUGCUAUCUAUGUU
rfam:Staphylococcus hyicus strain ATCC 11249, complete genome.